rnacentral:tRNA from 1 species
GGAAAAGGAGAAAUAUACCCCUCCCUGAGACUCAAGGAAGAAGCACUAAACCUCACCACCAACACCCAAA